AAUAAAUGAUUAAACAAUUUUGAUGGGGACUUGAUUGUGGACAAGAGAAGAUUUUUUACAAGACACUAGGUCUGGUACAAUCACUAGAUAUAGCUAUAUAUGUCUACUAGCUUGAAUUACCUACUUAGUCAGCUUUAUUUACCUACCUGAAGUAGCUUUAUUUAGCUACCAAUUGCAAAGUAAUUUAUUUCUAUAAAAAUACCUACGUUAACGUAGCUUAAUCUAGUGAUUGUACUGGACCUGAAUAUAUACCUAGCAAACCUGUCAAGAGAAGUUUCAACAUGUUCAAGAUUAUUCAAAUUCAUUUCCCUGGUUAGGACUGGGCUUUACAAUAGGAUUUUCAGCUGUGGAGCUAUAAAGAAUUACUACAUAGGGUUUCCAAUGUAGUUUUAUGAACAGAAUCCAGAAUUAAGAAGAGGAAAGACAAUGCAGAUGCAGCAUUAGCAUUACCAAUUACUUAGUAUCACUGCUGAGGAAAUGGUACCUGCUUUGAGUACUACUCUUGUGUAUUUGGAGACAGUGCAGUUGUUCUUUAAACCAGAAGUGGAAAUUUCAGUGCUUGUUAAAUUUUCUCCAGAAGUUAUUGGAUGAUACAUAGGAAGAAAAUGGUGUCAUACUGAACAAAAUAGUUUGGAUACACCUUAUAGAUUUUGAAAGAUUGAGACCUCAAGAUCAACCCAAAUGAUAUUUAAUAUGUAUCAGGGUUCACUUGCAGGAAUACACAGAAAUUCAGAGUAAAUUUUUAGUGCUUGUUAUCUUAGAAAAGAUCAAAGUUCAAGGUCAGCAGUGCUUUAGUUUUACCAAAUAUAAAACUAUUAUAAAGACUAAUUUCCUGUAUACAGGUAUAGCAAAUAAUCCAGAAUAUGAUUUGGGGAAACCGUGAUUUUUUCUUUUAAAUCUUACCUUAAUUUAGAACCAUGAUGUAUAACUUAAGCAAGAAGAUUUUUUUCAAGCAUACAAAAUUUCAAGGUCAUUUUAAUUUUGGAAGUGAAUAUAAAAUAUCAGGAAGCAGUCAAGCAUUGUAAUUUAUUUGUUGUUGAAUGUACUUACUUAUUGAGUAAUAUUCAAAUUUUAAUAUGCAAUGAAACUAAAAAUUUUAAAA